rnacentral:rRNA from 1 species
UACGUAGGGGCCAAGCGUUAUCCGGAUUUACUGGGCGUAAAGCGCAUGUAGGCGGUCGAUCAAGUCGGAUGUGAAAGCUCCUGGCUUAACUGGGAGAGGUCAUUCGAAACUAGUCGGCUGGAGGGUGGUAGAGGAGAGCGGAAUUCCAGGUGUAGCGGUGAAAUGCGUAGAUAUCUGGAGGAACACCAGUGGCGAAAGCGGCUCUCUGGACCAUUCCUGACGCUGAGAUGCGAAAGCCAGGGGAGAGAACGGG